rnacentral:misc_RNA from 1 species
AUUCCAGCAGCAGCUUGGACUUUCCCGCAACAAAACGAUGUCUUGCUGCAUUAGUAGUGACUAGCGAUGCAUAGUUUAUGAGAUUGACAAGUGCAGUUUCUAGUAGUUGAACCACAGCAAUUGACCCUUCAAUCCUCAUUAGCGGCACCUUGGGAAAGACAACUGAACCUUCAGGUAUAGAAAAUAUCUCAACAUCUGAACAGUCAAUUCCUCGAAGGUAGUUAUAGAAGGCAUCCUCACACGAUGGGGGCAAUGAUUUUCUGAUAAAAGCUAUCUCUUCUUCAGUUAAUUUGUAAUGAGCAAUAAGCUUUAUGCAUUCUUCUAACCCAGCAAAUAUUGU